rnacentral:rRNA from 1 species
AAGUUGUUGCAGUUAAAAAGCUCGUAGUCGGAUGUCGGGCUCGGGCAAGCUGUCGGCCUUUGGUCGGACGGCAGGCUCGGGUCUUUCUGCCUGAGGAACCCGGUUGCUUUAACGAGUUGCCGGUGGACGCAGGUCGUUUACUUUGAAAAAAUUAGAGUGUUCAAAGCAGGCUAGCGCUUGAAUACAUUAGCAUGGAAUAAUGGAAUAGGACUUUGGUGCUAUUUUGUUGGUUUAUGGGACCGAAGUAAUGAUUAACAGGGACAGUUGGGGCCGUUUAUAUUUCGUUGUCAGAGGUGAAAUUCUUGGAUUUACGAAAGAUAAACUUCUGCGAAAGCAUUCGGCAAGGAUGUUUUCAUUGAUCAAGAACGAAAGUUAGGGGAUCGAAGACGAUCAGAUACCGUCGUAGUCUUAACCAUAAACUAUGCCGACUAGGGAUCAGUGGAUGUCAAUUUGCGACUCCAUUGGCACCUUGUGAGAAAUCAAAGUUUUUGGGUUCCGGGGGGAGUAUGGUCGCAAGGCUGAAACUUAAAGGAAUUGACGGAAGGG